ACAACACAAGUGCAGAUGUGAUGUAAAUGUGGAGCUGAUGAAGAGGAAGGACCAAUGACACGAAGGCUCAGAUCCAUCAGAGUAUCAGAGUUGUUGGUCUCUCGUCUCCUCUCACUUCAGACAUGAAACACUGGCUGAGAAACAUCCUGGUUACGACUCUCUGGCUGGGUGUCAGCUGUGAACAACUGAGUCCAGUCCAGACUGAAGAGUUCAGUGUAGAAGGCAGAACUGUGACUCUGUCCUACGACUUCUCCAGAGCUGCUGCUUCUAAUGAUUAUUUCUUCUGGUAUCGACAAGAUCCAGGAAAACCUCCAGAGUUCCUCGUCUCUCACUCAGGAACAGGACAAAUAUUAAAUAGUCGAGUCUCUGGACUGUCUGUUACAGUGAGUGGUGAUAAAACACAGAUGGAUAUGAAGAUCUCCUCUGCUGCAGUGACUGACUCUGCUGUGUACUACUGUGCUCUGAGGCCCACAGUGACAGGAAACACCAAACCUCUGUACAAAAACACAACUCAAUACUUCCCAUCAGCCACUAGAGGGCGACACUAUGAAGUAGGCGGGGCUCUACUGUACUUGUGCACUGUGUUCACCACUGUGUGAGUGAUAAGUGCUGCUGUGAAGAGAACAACUGUCAGACUGAGUGUUGAACAUCGUCAGUUGCUCCUGUUGACUGAAACCUUGUUGUACAGAUGGAACAUUGUCUGUGGAUUAUUGCUGCUGCUCUGGUCUUUG